rnacentral:rRNA from 1 species
UACGGGGGCAAGCGUUGUUCGGAAUUACUGGGCGUAAAGGGCUUGUAGGUGGCCAACUAAGUCCGACGUGAAAUCCCUAGGCUUAACCUAGGAACUGCGUCGGAUACUGGAUGGCUUGAAUCCGGGAGAGGGAUGCGGAAUUCCAGGUGUAGCGGUGAAAUGCGUAGAUAUCUGGAGGAACACCGGUGGCGAAGGCGGCAUCCUGGACCGGUAUUGACACUGAAAAGCGAAAGCCAAGGGAGCAAACGGG